rnacentral:lncRNA from 1 species
CCAGGCAUUUGGAAGCAAUUAAUAUUUAGUGAAGAAUGUAUGAGGCAGACACAAUCAAGAACUCAGACUUUAGGAAAAUUAUAUAUUCCUUUUUGUGUAGAAUUUUACAUACUUGUUGUGAAAUGAGCAUGGAAAAAACUCACUUGUACUCAGGGUUAUUUUACAAACUUCUCACUUUGAAGAAAGUGAAGGCCUGCAUGCCUGACAUUUUUACCUCUUAUCUUUCUUCAUCAAGAAGAUCUCCCAAGUUGGCAGGAAGAAUACAGUGAUCAUUAUUUUAUCUUUCCCUGUCAGCUGCUGGCACCUCAGUGUUUCCCAGAAGACACCAAUUUCUCACAGAUAUAUGUCUGGUACUUCUUUCCAGAUGUCUUUCAGAAAUGCACCACCAGGUCUGAUGCAAGCCUACAACCAAUAAUAGUGGCUGCCUGGUAGAUGUCAGGUGGAUUUCUUCUCUCCUAAGUGGAGUGCCCCAUCCAUUGGUAAGUCUAAGCCCAACAUUUGGUUCAAGGAGUGAUGGUCCACCAAGAUUGAUAUCCCAACCUGUAGGUCUUUAAAUAGCAAUAAAAGAUGACACUGUACUUGGCUGCACUCUUGCAGAUGGUCUGUGGUGCCACCCGCCCAAGGACUUGCACCUUUUAAUUGAUCAUUUCUUUUCAGAUUUGUGGUUGUAAUCUUUCCUUCUCAUUAACAUCAUUAUUUUUUAUUCUGUUAACUGCCUUUCUUCAUACUGACCUUUAGUCCAACAUUAUCUUCCCAAUAAUUCAUUUAUUUUUCCUUGGGGGAAAAUCCAUACAAUUCUUGCUUUUGGGGGAAAUUUGUUCUGAGAAUCAUGUGAAGAACUGGUGUUCUUUGGGAUU